UGGGGAAUAUUGGACAAUGGGCGCAAGCCUGAUCCAGCCAUGCCGCGUGAGUGAUGAAGGCCUUAGGGUUGUAAAGCUCUUUCAGUGGGGAAGAUAAUGACGGUACCCACAGAAGAAGCCCCGGCUAACUUCGUGCCAGCAGCCGCGGUAAUACGAAGGGGGCUAGCGUUGUUCGGAUUUACUGGGCGUAAAGCGCACGUAGGCGGAUUGUUAAGUCGGGGGUGAAAUCCCAGGGCUCAACCCUGGAACUGCCUUCGAUACUGGCAAUCUCGAGUCCGGAAGAGGUGAGUGGAACUCCUAGUGUAGAGGUGGAAUUCGUAGAUAUUAGGAAGAACACCAGUGGCGAAGGCGGCUCACUGGUCCGGUACUGACGCUGAGGUGCGAAAGCGUGGGGAGCAAACAGGAUUAGAUACCCCGGUAGUCC
rnacentral:rRNA from 1 species